GAUGAACGCUGGCGGCGUGCCUAAUACAUGCAAGUCGAGCGGACGUUUUUGAAGCUUGCUUCAAAAACGUUAGCGGCGGACGGGUGAGUAACACGUGGGCAACCUACCUUAUCGACUGGGAUAACUCCGGGAAACCGGGGCUAAUACCGGAUAACAUCUAGCACCUCCUGGUGCCGGAUUAAAAGAGGGCUUCUUGCUCUCACGAUGAGAUGGGCCCGCGGCGCAUUAGCUAGUUGGAGAGGUAACGGCUCCCCAAGGCGACGAUGCGUAGCCGACCUGAGAGGGUGAUCGGCCACACUGGGACUGAGACACGGCCCAGACUCCUACGGGAGGCAGCAGUAGGGAAUCUUCCGCAAUGGACGAAAGUCUGGCGGAGCAACGCCGCGUGAGUGAUGAAGGGUUUCGGCUCGUAAAGCUCUGUUAUGAGGGAAGAACACGUACCGUUCGAAUAGGGCGGUACCUUGACGGUACCUCAUCAGAAAGCCACGGCUAACUACGUGCCAGCCGCCGCGGUAACAC
rnacentral:rRNA from 1 species